CUCGAAUUGCGCGGAAAGUAAUUCACGAAGAUGAAGCCACGCGCCUGGUCGAUGGCAUGAAAGAGCGGGUUCCAGUCGAACAUGGCCAGCAUGUAACCCGGCAGGGUAUUGGCGACGAACAUCUUGCCCGAGGCGAUCAUGUUGGCGCGGGU
rnacentral:ncRNA from 1 species